AUUGAACGCUGGCGGCAUGCCUAACACAUGCAAGUCGAACGGCAGCGCGGGGGCAACCCUGGCGGCGAGUGGCGGACGGGUGAGGAAUGCAUCGGAAUCUGCCCCGACGUGGGGGAUAACGUAGGGAAACUUACGCUAAUACCGCAUACGUCCUAACGGGGAAAGCGGGGGAUCGAAAGACCUUGCGCGGCGGGAUGAGCCGAUGCCGGAUUAGCUAGUUGGCGGGGUAAGAGCCCACCAAGGCGACGAUCCGUAGCUGGUCUGAGAGGAUGAUCAGCCACACUGGGACUGAGACACGGCCCAGACUCCUACGGGAGGCAGCAGUGGGGAAUAUUGGACAAUGGGGGCAACCCUGAUCCAGCAAUGCCGCGUGUGUGAAGAAGGCCUUCGGGUUGUAAAGCACUUUUAUCAGGAAAGAAAUCUUAUCGGCUAAUACCCGGUGGGGAUGACGGUACCUGAGGAAUAAGCACCGGCUAACUUCGUGCCAGCAGCCGCGGUAAUACGAAGGGUGCAAGCGUUAAUCGGAAUUACUGGGCGUAAAGGGUGCGUAGGCGGCCUGUUAAGUUGGAUGUGAAAGCCCUGGGCUUAACCUGGGAAUGGCACCCAAGACUGAUGGGCUGGAGUGCGGUAGAGGGUGGUGGA
rnacentral:rRNA from 1 species